AACGUAGGAGGCAAGCGUUAUCCGGAUUCACUGGGCGUAAAGCGCGUGCAGGCGGUUCGGUAAGUUGGGCGUGAAAUCUCCUGGCUCAACUGGGAGAGGUCGUUCAAUACUACCGGGCUAGAGAGUGGUAGAGGAAGAUGGAAUUCCCGGUGUAGUGGUGAAAUGCGUAGAUAUCGGGGGGAACACCAGUGGCGAAGGCGAUCUUCUGGACCAUUUCUGACGCUCAGACGCGACAGCUAGGGUAGCAAACAGG
rnacentral:rRNA from 1 species